rnacentral:rRNA from 1 species
GAUGAACGCUGGCGGCGUGCCUAAUACAUGCAAGUCGAGCGAACGGACGAGAAGCUUGCUUCUCUGAUGUUAGCGGCGGACGGGUGAGUAACACGUGGAUAACCUACCUAUAAGACUGGGAUAACUUCGGGAAACCAGAGCUAAUACCGGAUAAUAUUUUGAACCGCAUGGUUCAAAAGUAAAAGACGGUCUUGCUGUCACUUAUAGAUGGAUCCGCGCUGCAUUAGCUAGUUGGUAAGGUAACGGCUUACCAAGGCAACGAUGCAUAGCCGACCUGAGAGGGUGAUCGGCCACACUGGAACUGAGACACGGUCCAGACUCCUACGGGAGGCAGCAGUAGGGAAUCUUCCGCAAUGGGCGAAAGCCUGACGGAGCAACGCCGCGUGAGUGAUGAAGGUCUUCGGAUCGUAAAACUCUGUUAUUAGGGAAGAACAUAUGUGUAAGUAACUGUGCACAUCUUGACGGUACCUAAUCAGAAAGCCACGGCUAACUACGU